AACUAACCUUAGCUAACCAAAAUUAAACUUUUCGCUAAUCAAAAAAACUUGAUGGAUUAUUUAUACGUCAUUCUGCCACACACAGAAAUCAAAAUAGAUAACCUACAAAUGAGAAGGGUAUAAUUUGUACAAUUUGGUAACUAUUUUCAUUUGAAAAUGUUCAGUAGGGUGUUAGCGAAUUCAAGUCGUAUUUUACGAGCAAUUUCAGUGAAAAUACCAUCAUCAGUGAAUAAUGCGAUAUACUUGAAACCAUCUUUCCAUCAAUUUUCAACAAGUAUACUGGGAAAUAUUAGUCAAAAUAGGCCAACUCUUCUCUCAAAUCCAUCGAUCAAAGCGUUUGCACUGAAUGUUACUCCUCCUGUAAGAACAGUAACCAAGUUUUCUAUAAGAAAAGGCAGAAGGAAAGCUGUAAAGGUAGUACUGCAAAAAUUUUAUCGCUUGCAUUGGGGAGGUUGGAUCAGAACUAAAUGUGGAAGACAGAAGCGCCUAUGGAAGAAGAGUGCAGCAAGAAAGAGAAGGUUGAGGCAACAUGUAUUCUGUAAUUCAACACAAUGUACUUUAUUAGAUAAGAUGGUUGGUAGCUACUGGCGUAGACCUAAGUACUAUGUUGAAGAUCCUUAUGAACCCUAUCAUACAAGAGAUGAAUUUUCAAUAACAUCAACGAAGCCAAGACCGUAUUAUCCACCAGAGAAUCAGGUUUAAUUAUAGUUGUUGGUUUUUUAUGAAAAUACAUGAUUUGGAGCAAUUUUCAAUUCAUGAAUAUGGUUUAACAAUAUGUUGAGUAUGUAUUUAGUGAUUUGUUGAACAAAUAUUGACCUGAUGUGGAAUAAUGAAUUAUUCAAAUAUAACAGAAAAAAUGGUUUA